CCCUUAGAUGUUCUGGGCUGCACGCGCGCUACACUGUCGGAUUCAGCGAGUCAUAUCCUUAACCGAAAGGUUUGGGUAAUCUUUUGAAAGUCCGACGUGAUGGGGAUUGAUCAUUGCAAUUAUUGAUCAUGAACGAGGAAUUCCUAGUAAGCGCGAGUCAUCAGCUCGCGUUGAUUACGUCCCUGCCCUUUGUACACACCGCCCGUCGCUACUACCGAUUGAAUGGUUUAGCGAGAUCUUCGGAUUGGCGCCUACGCGGCUUCUCUGAGGCCACGCUGGAUGCCGAAAAGUUGCUCAAACUGUAUCAUUUAGAGGAAGUAAAAGUCGUAACA
rnacentral:rRNA from 1 species